UUGUCAAACAAGAGACUACUGAGGAGCUGAGACUUCACGAGGAACGUUUUAAUUUACGGCUUAAAAUUCUGAACAACUGACAUCCAGAAGCACACAUUUGGAAAAUCGGGCCUCAUCCGUCCACUGUCGUCUGCUGUCGUCUGUCCACUGUCCUGCGCUGUCCUCCGCUGUCGUCUAUCCACAUCAUCCGUCCUGGUCGCCUUCACGCAUUCAGAUGGAGAGUGAAGAGUCUGAUUAAAUAAUCAUUGCGUGUGGUUUCCUCCCCCUGCUCGUCACCUUGGGGACAUAUUGUCCCCCGUCAGUGAAACCUCGGGGACAGAAGGCUCCGCCACAGGGAGGCGCGGCGGGGGAGCAACGAGCUGAUGAAACGAGGAUCGGGGAGGGAGCUUUGAAUCCUCUGCUCGGACCCUGCCACGCCUGGAGGGGAGGGGACAGCUGACUGCACUGCCAACCAAUGAGAGCGCCCCCACAUGGACGCCUCGUCCAAUUAGAGUGAGGCCACUUAUCAAUGAGCCAAUGAUGAACCAAAGGAGACUCGUUUAUCACUGACGCCGUUAGCCGCUCCAGGUUGGGGGUGGAGUCAGGUUUCUGUCGCCGCAGAGAUGAUCAGAUUGUAACCGCCCCCCCCGCCGGUUCCCUCGGAGACGACACCUGAGUCGACGCCCGUGCCAACAUCUUCAUCGUCACCUGCUGCAGCAGCAGCUGCCGCCGUCUCUGCACCGGACCACGUUUCAGCGCACGGUCCAAGUGGGUCACACUGACGCA